rnacentral:lncRNA from 1 species
CCUGUUUUAUUCUCUUCCAUUCUCUUCCAUUCCCUUCCAUUUAAUUCUUCAAAUGUUUGUACCCAAAUUCCUUAAAUGUUUGUUCCACAAACGCACCAUGACCUGCAGCUUGUUCAGACGCUGCUCUAGGAGGAGAGCCAGCCCUGGUGCUGCCUGCCGCAGAGCAGAUGCCCCACUCGGGAGGCUGGGGGGAGCCUGGCCACGGAUCCAGCGCCACUGUCUAAGCAGACCACUUCUCUGACACCUCUGCUUUCCUGAGGACGGCACAAAAUCGGCUCCCUGGAAACACAGCGGCACAGAGCCUUGAAAAGUGUUCCAUCUCAGCAGUGACGCAACAGCGAAGCAAUCCCAGAAUCAGAAUAGCACCAAGAAGCGGGAGAAAGAUCGUGUGGGCCAUGCCCACAGAGACUUUUAGGAGAAGGAAUGGACCAGCUCAGAUCUGAGCCAUGUCGCUAGCCGAUGGGCUAUAAUACUCUUCUUAUCCUUCUCCCACCCAUCAACUACUACCAGCCCCUCCAGCCCCUCAGAAGGGGAAAGGAGGAAAGCAGAGGCCCUGCUGACCUACAGCACUCCGAGGAAUGCAGACCCGUGACAAAAGAUAUGUGCACUGUCAGGGUGAGUGAGCAGCUGUUGUUGGACCUGUCUGCAGAGUGGGCACCAAGGCAUGAAGGACAGGACCCUGGGGACCCUGGGCCCUGAAAUGUGUUUUACCCUUGAAAUUCUACACUGGACUUCUCCAGUGCAGUGUUAAAUCAGAUAAUGAAAUGACAAAAUAAAUGUUAUCAUUUAACAAACAUAAAUCAAUAAAAGGAGAGAUGUCUACAGUCCCCCACUAAUUAAUAAGUGGGAAC